UGUAACGGGGCUAAAGCUAGCCUCCGAAGCUAUGGGUGUACAGGCCUGCGGGCUCUGUACGCGGUAGGAGAGCGUUCCAGCUGCGUGAAGCGGUGGCGUAAGGCUCCGUGGAGCGACUGGAAGUGAGAAUGCCGGCAUGAGUAACGAAAGAGGGGUGAGAAUCCCCUCCACUGAUUGUCCGAGGUUUCCUGAGUAAAGUUCGUCUGCUCAGGGUUAGUCGGGACCUAAGGCGAGGCCGAAAGGCGUAGCCGAUGGACAACAGGUUGAUAUUCCUGUACCACUUAUUAAACUGAUGGAGUGACGGAGAAGGCUAAGUUGAGCGUGUGAAUGGAUUCACGUGUAAGCAGUGAGGUGGUCAUGUAGGCAAAUCCGCAUGGCAUAACAUUGAGCUGUGAUGCCGAAGCCAAUAGGCGAAGUCAACUGACGUCACGCUUCCAAGAAAAGCUUCUAGGGUUAAUUUAAUAAGUGCCCGUACCGAUAACCGACACAGGUAGGCGAGGAGAGAAUCCUAAGAUGAGCGAGAGAACUCUUGUUAAGGAACUCGGCAAAAUGACCCCGUAACUUCGGGAGAAGGGGUGCUUGUGAAAGCAAGCCGCAGUGAAUAGGCCCAGGCGACUGUUUAUCAAAAACACAGGUCUCUGCUAAACCGCAAGGUGAUGUAUAGGGGCUGACGCCUGCCCGGUGCUGGAAGGUUAAGAGGAGAGGUUAGCGCAAGCGAAGCUUUGAAUUCAAGCCCCAGUAAACGGCGGCCGUAACUAUAACGGUCCUAAGGUAGCGAAAUUCCUUGUCGGGUAAGUUCCGACCCGCACGAAAGGCGUAACGAUCUGGGCGCUGUCUCAACAAGAGACUCGGUGAAAUCAUAGUACCUGUGAAGAUGCAGGUUACCCGCGACAGGACGGAAAGACCCCGUGGAGCUUUACUGUAGCUUGAUAUUGAGCACUGGUGGCACAUGUACAGGAUAGGUAGGAGACGAAGAAACCAGGACGCCAGUCUUGGUGGAGUCGCUGUUGGGAUACUACCCUUGUGUUACUGGGGUUCUAACCCGUGGCCCUUAUCGGGUCAGGGAACAGUGUCAGGUGGGCAGUUUGACUGGGGCGGGCGCCUCCCAAAGAGUAACGGAGG
rnacentral:rRNA from 1 species